CCUACGGGAGGCAGCAGUGAGGAAUAGUGGUCAAUGGCCGUAAGGCUGAACCAGCCAAGUAGCGUGAGGGAAGACUGCCCUAUGGGUUGUAAACCUCUUUUAUGCGGGGAUAAAGGUGUCCACGUGUGGAUGUUUGCAGGUACCGCAUGAAUAAGGACCGGCUAAUUCCGUGCAAGCAGCCGCGGUAAUACGGAAGGUCCGGGCGUUAUCCGGAUUUAUUGGGUUUAAAGGGAGCGUAGGACGGUCUUUAAGCGUGCCGUGAAAUUUUGUGGCUCAACCAUGAGAGUGCGGCGCGAACUGGAGACCUUGAGUGCGCGGAAGGCAGGCGGAAUUCGUGGUGUAGCGGUGAAAUGCUUAGAUAUCACGAAGAACCACGAUUGCGAAGGCAUCCUGCCGCAGCGUUACUGACGCUGAAGCUCGAAAGCGCGGGUAUCGAACAGGAUUAGAUACCCGUGUAGUC
rnacentral:rRNA from 1 species